rnacentral:rRNA from 1 species
AUUGAACGCUGGCGGCAUGCUUUACGCAUGCAAGUCGAACGGUAACAGGCCGCAAGGUGCUGACGAGUGGCGCACGGGUGAGUAAUGCAUCGGAACGUGCCCAGUCGUGGGGGAUAACUACUCUAAAGAGUAGCUAAUACCGCAUACGAUCUAUGGAUGAAAGCGGGGGACCGUAAGGCCUCGCGCGAUUGGAGCGGCCGAUGUCAGAUUAGGUAGUUGGUGGGGUAAAGGCUCACCAAGCCAACGAUCUGUAGCUGGUCUGAGAGGACGACCAGCCACACUGGGACUGAGACACGGCCCAGACUCCUACGGGAGGCAGCAGUGGGGAAUUUUGGACAAAGGGCGCAAGCCUGAUCCAGCAAUGCCGCGUGCAGGAAGAAGGCCUUCGGGUUGUAAACUGCUUUUGUACGGAACGAAACGGCUCUGGUUAAUACCCGGGGCUAAUGACGGUACCGUAAGAAUAAGCACCGGCUAACUACGUG